rnacentral:rRNA from 1 species
AUUGAACGCUGGCGGCAUGCCUUACACAUGCAAGUCGAACGGCAGCACGGGAGCAAUCCUGGUGGCGAGUGGCGAACGGGUGAGUAAUAUAUCGGAACGUGCCCAGUAGUGGGGGAUAACUGCUCGAAAGAGCAGCUAAUACCGCAUACGACCUGAGGGUGAAAGGGGGGGAUCGCAAGACCUCUCGCUAUUGGAGCGGCCGAUAUCAGAUUAGCUAGUUGGUGGGGCAAAGGCCUACCAAGGCAACGAUCUGUAGUUGGUCUGAGAGGACGACCAGCCACACUGGGACUGAGACACGGCCCAGACUCCUACGGGAGGCAGCAGUGGGGAAAUUUGGACAAUGGGCGCAAGCCUGAUCCAGCAAUGCCGCGUGCAGGAAGAAGGCCUUCGGGUUGUAAACUGCUUUUGUCAGGGAAGAAAUCCUCUAGGUUAAUACCCUUGGGGGGAUGACGGUACCUGAAGAAUAAGCACCGGCUAACUACGUGCCAGCCGCCGCCGUAAGAC